UGGUAAUAAUAAACCAAAGCAUAAUGGCGGCCAUUCACUUUCAGAGGAACUUGUCUCUUAAUCGAUAAUCCACGUUAAUUUUCACUUUACAACAUAGCCUUUAUACCUCCGUCAAAUCUCUACAACUAUAUUCAUUUCAAAUAAAUAAAUUUAAAAAGUCAGGUCAAGGUGAAGCUCACCCAAAGAGAAGAUGAGUUACCUUUAGUGCCUUAAUUCAAGAAAGUCAUCCAAAAUCAACUCUAAUUAGGAUUUGAAAGUAAAAAAUAAUUAAAAUUUAUAAUUGAAAUAAAUCAAUGGUGU
rnacentral:rRNA from 1 species